AGUUGUGACUUUGAGUUGCAAACUGAACUGUGGAGAAAAACACAAGUGCAAUGAAUGCUGCGAUUCCAUUUGAGACAAUUGUCACUCUUGAAAGGACAAAAGGCUCCGUUGCGCCGGACUGUUUGCAAAGUGUGUGCGGUUUGAGUGGAGGCGUGCGCCUGCGGAUGCAGUUCUGUUCUUAUCUGACAUCAGCAGCCCAGGGCGGGCGUGCAGAAGCGAGUACAAGCUCGUAUCAACUUCUCGAUGUAUAAAGUCUGGCAGAAAUGCUUUGGAAAGUGAAACUCGACAAACAUGCCAGUCAACCAACCCACGAAAAAAAAAAUAAUAAUAAAAAUAAAAU